rnacentral:rRNA from 1 species
UACAGAGGUGGCAAGCGUUGUUCGGAAUUAUUGGGCGUAAAGAGCUCGUAGGUGGUUCGGUAAGUCGGGUGUGAAAACUCUGGGCUCAACUCAGAGACGCCACCCGAUACUGCUGUGACUCGAGUCUGGUAGGGGAGUGUGGAAUUCCCAGUGUAGCGGUGAAAUGCGCAGAUAUUGGGAGGAACACCAGUGGCGAAGGCGGCACUCUGGGCCAGUACUGACACUGAGGAGCGAAAGCGUGGGUAGCGAACAGG